GGGGGGGGGGGGGGGCGGGCCGAGUGGAGGGGGGGGGGGCGGGGAGGCGGGGGGCUUGCUCCUCUGGCGGUAGCGGCGGACGGGUGAGUCACACGUGGAUCACCUCCCGAUACUACUGGGCUACCUUCGGGACACCGGAGCUCAUACCGGAUACACUCUUGAACCGCCUGGUUCCCUCGUGACAGACGGUUUUGCUGUCCCUUCUAGAUGGAUCCGCGCCGCACUAGCGUGUUGGUAAGGUAACGGCUUACACCAGCAACGAUUCGUAGCCGACCUGACAGGGUGAUCGGCCACCCUGGAACUGGGACACGGUCCAGACUCCUACGGGAGGCAGCAGUAGGGAAUCUGCGUCAAUGGGCGAAAGCCUGACGGAGCAACGCCGCGUGAGUGAUGAAGGUCUUCGGAUCGUAAAACUCUGUUAUUAGGGAAGAACAAAUGUGUAAGUAACUAUGCACGUCUUGACGGUACCUAAUCAGAAAGCCACGGCUAACUACGUG
rnacentral:rRNA from 1 species